rnacentral:lncRNA from 1 species
CUGUGGUUUUGUUGGGAUCAAGUGGAAUGCUUAUUUUAUAAUUCAGCAUUUUAUUUCAAUUUUUAUUUUAUUUUUUUACUCUCUAUGGCUACAUCCACAUUCUCUUCCUGGACUCAUUUCUUGUAAUUUAAAAGAUUUUUUCUUCUUUUUUUUUGAGAUUUAAUCACUGCUUCUAACUGAACAUCAGCAGAACUAAGUUUCAUAUGUGAAGAAUUUCAACACAAAGAUCCAGCAGAUUAAACUCUCUCACACUCUCUGUUCUUGGCCUGAAAGCUGAUGAAAAUGAAUCAAGAAAAUGUGUAGUGAGAGGGAGAUGAAUCAGGAAGAAACACCAGUGAAGAGACAUGCAGACAUUAGAGGCAAUGGCAAGAGAUGCAAAUCUCCAGUUCUAAAGUAGCUGAGUGCAAUGGACCAGCCCCUGGCACUGGCUGUUUCUCCAUGGGCUUCAGAGGUGACCUGCAUGACUGCCUUACAAGAGAUGACAACUCUCUGACAGUUAGAUAUAGACCUGCAGUGAAAAUGGUAAGCAAGGUGGGUAGUGCUUUUCUUCCCAUGGUAACACCUAUGAGUGCACAGCUGGAUCAGUGCAGUUGAGAUGUCUGAAGUCCUUCAUUUUAGUAAAUUUUCCCCUGGAUUUAUUAUACUUUGCCUACUUGGAAUUAAAAAAAAAUACAUUGUAGAAAAAUUGGCUGCUCUUUUUGUUUGUUUUCACUUCAGUGCUUUAUAGGGCAUGGAUGAUCAGGAAUGAACACUAUAAAAAACAAAUAAAACAUUAUGUUCUUAAUAAAGCUCUUUAAUAAUAAUAAUAAGAGCUACCUCUUGCAAAGCUGGUUGUCUGCAGGAACUAACAAAACAUCAACAGUGUUCCAAGUGUGUUCCAAGUACAGCGUCUU